rnacentral:rRNA from 1 species
AUGCGCCGGCCCUCGCUGGCGGUGGCCGAGCCCGCGGCGCCGGAGUUCACCCUGUCGGCGGGCGACUACAGGCUCAUGGAGGAGGUGGGCUUCGGUGCCAACGCCGUCGUCUACCGUGCCAUCUUCCUCCCCGCCAACUGCACCAUCGCCGUCAAGUGCCUCGAUCUCGAUCGGGUCAACAGUAACCUCGAUGAUGUUCGCAAGGAGGCUCAGAUUAUGAAAUCGAUAGAUCAUCCUAAUGUCAUCAAGGCUUAUUGCUCAUUUGUUGUCGAUCACAACCUUUGGGUCAUAAUGCCCUUCAUGGCAGAGGGUUCAUGUUUACACCUUAUGAAGGUCGCACAUCCUGAUGGUCUGGAGGAGCCUGUUAUCUGCUCUAUUCUUAAAGAAACACUCAAGGCUCUGGCUUACCUCCAUGGCCAAGGACAUAUCCACCGAGAUGUUAAGGCGGGCAAUAUCCUUGUUGAUAGCCCUGGUGUAGUGAAGCUUGGGGACUUUGGUGUAUCUGCUUGCUUGUUUGACAGAGGCGAUAGGCAAAGAUCCAGGAAUACGUUUGUGGGAACACCAUGCUGGAUGGCUCCAGAAGUUCUCCAGCCUAGAACCGGUUAUAAUUUCAAAAUGCACCACCAGGUCUUUGACUAUGACCGCGAUAGAAAAUUCUCAAAGUCUUUCAAGGAAAUGGUUGCAAUGUGCUUGGUAAAAGAUCAAACUAAGCGGCCAACAGCUGAGAAGUUACUAAAGCAUUCGUUUUUCAAGAACGCCCCACAGCUGACAGUUAAGAGCAUCUUAACCUUUGCGCCCCCUCUGUGGGAUCGUGUGAAGGCACUCCAGCAAAAAGAUGCAGCACACCUGGCCUCAUCUGAACAGGAAGCACUUUCCAUGUAUCAACGAGGUGUCAGAGCAUCUCCAGCCCGGCGAACUUGUACCACUGCAGUAAAUCCAGGUGGAAAUGGCCCUGAAACAAGUGAUGAAUUCGCUUGUGACCUUGGCAAUGCUGAUAGUCCAAGGAUGGUUGAUGGACACAUAAAGCAAGGAACAGAAAAUGAUUCAUUGUCCUCUACAUCGAAGCAAGGUUCUGAGGGUGGAAACCGCAGGAGUGAAGUUAGACAAAGACAAAGGACAUUCUCUGGUCCAGUUAUGGAUGCAGGAGCUCGGUCACCUAAUAAACAAAAGAGUGACACGGGAAGAAUCGAUGAUCUUAGUGGUCCGCUUUCACUUUCAACUCGUGCUUCUGCAAAUAGUCUGUCUGCCCCUAUUCGGUCUUCUGGAGGAUAUGUGGGCUCCUUGGGAGUCAAGCCUAGGGUGGAAAUAAAAGGCCGAUUUUCCGUAACAUCCGAAAAUGUGGAUCUGGCGAAGAACUCAGGUCUCUACAAUGAAAGAUCAGCCAGUGUUGGUGCUUGGCCAGUGAAGGCUAAGUCAAUUUUGCAGUCUAAUAGUCAUCAUCGGAAGGAAUUCCGUGACAGCUCAGUAUCUGCAUCAAUUCUGAUUCCCCAUCUUGAAAACCUUGUACAGCAGACCACAUUUCAGCAAGAUAUCAUCACGAACCUAAUGAGUAACUUGCAACAGAAUGAGAAACCCAAUGCGACGGAAGCUCCACCACAGCCACUGCCUCCUCAGCGCCGCCACACACGCACACUCGCGCUCACGCCAACCCUAGCUCUAACAGAGAAAGAGGGAAAAGAACUCCUCGUCAAAAAAGUUGUGCCGCCGCAAGGACACGCAGGGGCUGCCCUUUUUUCCUUGACGGAGACGGAAAAGAAGAGAAAGAAGAAGGGAAAGGGGAAAGGAAGAGAAGAAAUUAAUAAAGUUCAUGAUUUGUUUUUUCAAAAAAUAUUUUCUGUAAAAAAUAAAAAGUUCAUGAAUUUUUAUUCAUGUUUUUUCGCUGCAAAAUAA